rnacentral:lncRNA from 1 species
CUCCUGGUAAAGAGACCACCAUAGGGCGGAGCCCUGAGCUUCCAUCUUCCUCCUUCCUGCUAGUGAGCUUGGCCAGGGGGGCUUGGACACUUUGGAGAGGGGCCGACACACGGAUGAUGACAAAACAGAAAGAUAGUAAGAGCCUCUGGUUCCUAGUGGCCUUGUGGAUUUGCUGAACCAAGCCUUGAUGUGCUGACCUCCAGACUCGUUACACUUAACAUUUAUUAAAUGUCUUUAUUACUUAACUGUUGGUUGGUAUUUUAUGAUUUUCAGCUUAUCUUAACUGAUAUGGAUAUAAUUACUAAUGCUUGUGAGAAUGGAUGAGCCCUGAGAAGGGGGAAGAGAAAGACAAAGCCUGGAAACUUCUUUUAGCAGAUGGAAACCUUUUGCUAAUUAAACCUUAAGGUUUUUAAUCUUAAAAGCUACACAGAAAACUUGUUUUAAUUUUGAAAACAUAAUACUCCUCCUCCCCCAACACGCGCACCGGACAACCUCUCUCCUUGAACCACUCCGGGUGGUUCAAAUUCCAAAGAGCAUAUGUUUCAAAUGAAAGGUCAAAAAGGAGAUCGGUUUCAGUUUGGAGCUAAGGGAGAGUGAUUAUUUCUCUAAUGUGAGCUGCUUCCUGUUGCUAAAACACUGCCCCUUCAAAUGAGAUUGUUUGCUAAGUGAGGCAUCUCCUUCCUCUUUCUUCCUUGGAUGAAUUAGCAAGCAAGAAGAGUCAGUCUGAGGCUCCUCACUGUGACGGACUGAGGAGCUUUAUUUACUCCCUGCGGAUAGUGGCCUGCCACCAGAGAGGCCACAGGCCGGAGUGAUGGAGCUGACUCAUAGGGUAAGGAGAAAGUGGCCUGGAUCGUUGACAGAGGGUGUGGUCUUUUUGUUUGGUAAUUUUAAACUACAUUCUUGAAAAAGUUUCUCAAGAUUCAAGCAAUUCCUAGGACUGUAUGUACACUUGGGGAACAUUUCUUAAAAUACAUAACGAAUUCAAAUUAAUAAGAAAAAGACAACCCAGAAGAAAAAUGGACACGUGAAUUAAUCAGAAACUCAAGAGGUGGCGUAUAUUUGAGCAUGGAUCUAAAUGAGGUGAAGGAUUGAGAUGGCUGCUUGGGGAAGAACUUUCCAGGCAUGAAUGAAUGCCUGAAUUGAGCAUCUCCACUUCCUGAUAUGAGAGAAGAGACGUAACAAAGAUUCCUCCAGAACCAAAAGGAUCCGAGAUAAGGCUAACUUGAUUAACGUGCUUAAUGUGAAUGCCACACCUUGGGUUUCCCAGGAAGAAGACUCUCAGAUGAAGACCAGUGUUUAGGAAGCUUAUUAGGAAUGCUUGCGGGAUCAACACCUGCUGGGGAAGAAAGGCAGCAAGAUUGGGCAGAGGACAGAGUUGGGCUAUGGUGCAGUCUCAGUGGAGGUUUCCAUCGGCCAUCGGGAGUUCUGAAGCUGGGCUGGCCCUUCGGGGUGGUCCCAAGUUGGGGGCUGGAUCUUUAUGCCUCGCCUUAGUCCAUCAUUAGAUGUUGGCCAUCCCAGGAAGGAGUAUGACCUUGGGUGAGGUGGCUCCCCUCUGCCACAGUAGUCCUUGGCAGCUGAGGGCUACUUAAAUGAUUUCAACUUCUUCCUUUUGUUCCCCCAGCACCAGGAGUGAUGGUUCCUCAGCAGUGGAGGGAGGGAGUCCUUCCUUCCUGAAGGGGAUCUGGGUGGGCCAGUUCACUGUUCAUCACCGUGAGACAAGGUGGCACAUGGUGAUGGGGAGCACAACAUGCUGGGGUGGGUGGGGGUGGGCAGUCAAUAGAUGCAGGUCUAAACCUUGCUGCAUUGGAGAGAAGAUAAGAGAAAAAGUUGCUGAGUUGGUUUCCUGGGCCUAUGUGCUCUCAGAGUCCUUUCCUUUUCUUAGCUUGCCCAGUGGUGCUGACACCUGCAGGCUGCAUCUCUCAAACUCCCCAUCAGUUGGUUUCUGGCAGGUUUGACCAGGAGAAACCACUGAUCAGACAUAAGCAGGAGGAAACCAGAGAAACCAGAGUAUUUCCAUCCUUCCUCUUCGCCUUGGGCAGGAACUCCAUUAGCAGCUUGUCUUCUCCCUUGUUCUAACUCUCCUAUGCAGGCUCACUGUGGUUCCAGCUCCCAUAAAGGAAUCUCUCAGUCCCUGGCUCUGGCCACACCACUGUGGUAGAUGUGAGGUACUCAGGUCCUCUUUAAGGAAGGACUUGCUGCCCAACGGCAGGUGCUGCAGCCAGCAUCCAGCUGUCAGCCCCUACAGGGUCAGCCUUACUUGCAGAGAACCACCUUGCUCGAGGUCAUGCCCUUCCUGAAGCAGCUGGCAUCCGAUGUUGACCCCUCAUGAACACCUUGCACUCCAGUAUAUUUCUAAGUGCUUCUGAGAGCCCGGCCUGCAACACCACUUCUCCCCUCUGCCUCCAGCCUAGAGAUGGGAAUGGCUUCCUGCUGGUGCUAAUCUCUAGGUGGCCUCACCAUGUCCCAUUUGGACACUCUGCUCUUGCAUCAUCCAUGUAAUCAAUUAACUGCAUUAAAUCCCCAUCUCUUUAAAUAAAGUAGGUUCUGACACAGCCAACAUUAUACUGAAUGGGGAAAAGUUGAAAGCGUUCCUCCUGAGAACUGGAACAAGACAAGGAUGUUCACUUUCACCACUUCUAUUCAACAUAGUACUGGAAGUCCUAGCCAGAGCAAUCAGACAAGAGAAGGCAAUAAAGGACAUCCAAAAAAGUAAAGAGGAAGUCAAACUGUCACUGUUUGCUGAUGAUAUGAUUGUAUACCUAGAAAACCCUAAGAACUUAUCCAAAAAGCUCCUAGAACUGAUUAAUGAAUUCAGUAAAGUUUCAGGAUACAGAAUUAAUGUACACAAGUCAGUAGCACUGCUGUACACCAACAGUAACCAAGCUGAGAAUCAAAUCAAGAACUCAGCCUCUUUUACAAUAGCUGCAAAAAAUAAAAUAAAAUACUGAGGAAUAUACCUGUUACCAAGGAGGUGAAAGACCUCUACAAUGAAAACUAUAAAACACUGCUGAAAGAAAUCAUAGAUGACACAAACAAAUGGAAACACAUCUCAUGCUCAUGGAUGGGUAGAAUCAAUAUCGUGAAAAUGACCAUACUGCGAAAAGCAAUCUACAAAUUCAGUGCAAUUCCCAUCACAGUAUCACCAACAUUCUUCACAAAGCUGGAAAAAGCAAUCCUAAAAUUCAUAUGGAAUGAAAAAAGAGCCCGCAUAGCCAAAGCAAUACUAAGCAAAAAGAACAAAUCUAGAGGCGUCACAUUACCCAACUUCGAACUAUACUAUAAGGCCAUAGUCACCAAAACAGCAUGGUACUGGUAUAAAAUAGGUACAUAAACCAAUGGAACAGAAUAGAGAACCCAGAAAUAAAGCUGGAUACUUAUAGCUAACGAGUCUUCAACAAAGCAAACAAAAUAAAGUGGGGAAAGGACACCCCAUUCAACAAAUGGUGCUGGGAUAAUUGUCAAGCCACAUGUAGAAAAAAUGAAACUGGAUCCUCAUCUCUCAUUUUAUACAAAAAUCAACUCAAGAUGGAUCAAAGACUUAAGUCUAAGACCUGAAACCAUAAAAAUUCUAGAAGAUAACAUUGGAAAAACCCUUCUAGACAUUGGCAUAGGCAAAGACUUCACGACCAAGAACCCAAAAGAAAAUGCAACAGAAACAAAGAUAGAUAGGUAGGACUUAAUUAAACUAAAUUACUUCUACACAGCAAAAGAAAUUAUCAGUAUAGACCACCCACAGAAUAGGAGAAAAUCUUUGCAAUCUAUACAUCUGACAAAGGAUUAAUAUCCAGAAUCUACAAGGAACUCAGAUCAGCAAGAAAAAAACAAAGAAUCCCAUCAAAAAAUGGGCUAAGGACAUGAAUAAACAAUUCUCAAAAGAUGUACAAAGGGCCAACAAACAUAUGAAAAAAUAUUCAACAUCACUAAUUAUCAGGGAAAUGCAAAUCAAAACCACAAUGAGAUGCUACCUCACUCCUGCAAGAAUGGCCAUAAUCAAAGAUCAAAAAUAAUAGAUGUUGGCAUGGAUGUGAAGAAAAGGGAACACUUUUACACUGCUGGUGGGAAUGUAAACUAGUACAACCACCAUGGAAAACAGUGUGGAGAUUCCUUAAAGAACUAAAAAUAGAUGUACCAUUUGAUCCAGUGAUCCCACUACUAAGUAUCUACCCAGAGGAAAAGAAGUUAUUAUACUAAAAAGAUACUUGCACAUGGAUGUUUAUAGCAGCACAAUUCGCAAUUGCAAAAAUAUGGAACCAGCCCAAAUGCCCAUCAAUCAAUGAGUGGAUAAAGAAAAUGUGAGGGAUAAAAGACUACACAUUGGGUACAGUGUAUACUGCUUGUGUGAAGGGUGCACCAAAAUCCCAGAAGUCACCACUAAAGGACUUAUUCAUGUAACCAAACACCACCUGUUCCCCAAAAACCUAUUGAAAUGGAAAAUAAAUAAAGUAGGUUCUGUUUUCCUGGCUAGACACUGCCUGAUAUAGUGAGUUUUACAUCUAAACUUCAGUUUAUAUUCUCAUUUCCCUUGCUAAUCUAGUAUUUUAUAAGGGGGCCCUCAACUCAUAAAUAUAUAUUAAUAUAUAUAUGUUUGUGUGUAUAUAUUCCUCAUCUGCAACCAAACGCAGAUCGAAAAUACAGUAUUCCUGGAAUGUGACACCCACGUGUAUCAAGGGCCGAC